rnacentral:rRNA from 1 species
AUGGCCGCCACCGCCGCCGCUUCCCUUUCCCUCCACCUCCGCCUCCGCCCUCCUCCAUAUGCCCACCGCAGCCCCCUUCGCCAUGCCUUGUUCCUCCUAUCCCCUUCUCCGUCCACCCCAUGGCCUCCUCACCAUCUUCACGUCGGUAACGGCCGGCUCCCUCCACCUUGCCGCCCCUCUGUGAAGGCGCGGGCAGGUACCAUCGAGGCUCCGAGCCUCGCGCGCCUUGGGGGCGCCGUAGAGACCGACCGCCUCCCCGCCGACGUGCGCGACCGCGCCAUGGACGUUGUCGAAUACUUGGGCGGCCGCGUCACAAUCGGCAACGUCGCCUCCCGCGCCGGCCUGCAGAUUGACCAGGCAGAGCGCGCGCUCCAGGCUCUCGCGGCAGACACCGGGGGCUUCCUGGAGGUGCCCCUCGCCCCCACGGCGCGCGCUACUUCGUGGCUAGCCUUCUUUCCGGCUGCGAUCUGA